GAUGAACGCUGGCGGCGUGCCUAAUACAUGCGAGUCGAGCGAACGGACGAGAAGCUUGCUUCUCUGAUGUUAGCGGCGGACGGGUGAGUAACACGUGGAUAACCUACCUAUAAGACUGGGAUAACUUCGGGAAACCGGAGCUAAUACCGGAUAAUAUUUUGAACCGCAUGGCCCAAAAGUGAAAGACGGUCUUGCUGUCACUUAUAGAUGGAUCCGCGCUGCAUUAGCUAGUUGGUAAGGUAACGGCUUACCAAGGCAACGAUGCAUAGCCGACCUGAGAGGGUGAUCGGCCACACUGGAACUGAGACACGGUCCAGACUCCUACGGGAGGCAGCAGUAGGGAAUCUUCCGCAAUGGGCGAAAGCCUGACGGAGCAACGCCGCGUGAGUGAUGAAGGUCUUCGGAUCGUAAAACUCUGUUAUUAGGGAAGAACAUAUGUGUAAGUAACUGUGCACAUCUUGACGGUACCUAAUCAGAAAGCCACGGCUAACUACGUG
rnacentral:rRNA from 1 species